rnacentral:rRNA from 1 species
UACGGAGGGUGCAAGCGUUAUCCGGAUUUACUGGGUUUAAAGGGUGCGUAGGUGGGCAGUUAAGUCAGCGGGGAAAUCUCUGGGCUUAACCCAGAAACUGCCAUUGAUACUAUCUGUCUUGAAUAUCCUGGAGGUGAGCGGAAUAUGUCAUGUAGCGGUGAAAUGCUUAGAUAUGACAUAGAACACCAAUUGCGAAGGCAGCUCACUACGGGGUUAUUGACACUGAGGCACGAAAGCGUGGGGAUCAAACAGG